rnacentral:rRNA from 1 species
UCCGCAGGCGGGCAAUUAAGUCAGGGGUGAAAUGGUACGGCUCAACCGUAGCACUGCCCUUGAUACUGGUUGUCUUGAGUCAUAGUGAAGUGGCCGGAAUAUGUAGUGUAGCGGUGAAAUGCAUAGAUAUUACAUAGAACACCGAUUGCGAAGGCAGGUCACUAACUAUCGACUGACGCUGAUGGACGAAAGCGUGGGGAGCAAACAGGAUUAGAUACCCUGGUAGUCC